ensembl:miRNA Gm25692 predicted gene, 25692
GGUUUCUCUGUGUAGCCCUGGCUGUCCUGGAACUCACUCUGUAGACCAGGCUGGCCUUGAACUCAGAAAUCCACCUGCCUCUGCCUCCCGAGUGCUGGGAUUAAAGGCGUGCG